rnacentral:tRNA from 1 species
GCGCUGGUGGUGAAAUUGGCAGACACGCCAUCUUGAGGGGGUGGUGCCUUACGGCUUGCAGGUUCAAGUCCUGUCCAGCGCA